GACGAACGCUGGCGGCGUGCCUAAUACAUGCAAGUAGAACGCAGUUGCGAACGGGUGAGUAACGCGUAGGUAACUGCCUCAUAGCGGGGGAUAACUAUUGGAAACGAUAGCUAAUACCGCCUACUGUCAGAUGGACCUGCGUUGUAUUAGCUAGUUGGUGAGGUAAAGGCUCACCAAGGCGACGAUACAUAGCCGACCUGAGAGGGUGAGAGGCCACGCUGGGAGUGAGACACGGCCCAGAGUCCUACGGGAGGCAGAGAUAGGGAAUCUGCGGAGAUGGACGGAAGUCGGACCGAGCAACUCCGCGUGGGGGAGGAAGGGUUUCGGAUCGGAAAGCUCGGUUGUGAGAGAAGCGGGAACUAACCAGAAAGGGACGGAUAACUACGUGCCAGCAGCCGCGGUAAUAC
rnacentral:rRNA from 1 species